AUUCCUAAAACUGAAACUGGGGACUCUAGGAGGACACACAUCAUUAAGGAACUGGGCUUUCCUCUGAAGAGACUACCAAUUUGCAUUCCACCUACAAUGGAUGAGAAUCUCCAUCCUCCAAAGAUGAAAAAGAGGAUAUUAUCAUUCUUUUUAAUCUUUGCCAUCUGGAAGUUGCAUUCUGCUGAGCCCAGGAGUUAGAGAACAGACCACAGAGAUUUAAGUUCUCACUUGCGGGAAGUAGAUUUCAGUCCGCAUCCCAGCUCUGAAGCCCCAUUUCUCCUGGUGUAAAAUGAGCCUGGAUUUCUAGAAGGAAGAAGCUGUUCCAAGCACAGUGCAAUUCCAGAGCUUCCCAGUGAAGAGGGCAACAGAGCAGAGUCUGGCUUCCUCUUGCUCUUGCAGAGGAAUGUUCCCAGAGCAUGCAGCCUUGUGAUCUGUUCUGGAGUCGGCCAUGUGCACGUCUGAGAGGAACAAAUUGUCUAUGGUCUUAUUAAAGAAUCUUCCCACAAAUUGAAACAUCAUGCACCUCUUGGUGUGGGCC
rnacentral:lncRNA from 1 species